GCUCCUCUUCGAACUCCUGCUCGUCGUCCUUGGACUCGUGGCCGUUGUCUUGGUGAGACGGGAAGGACAGGUCCGAGAUCGUUGGACUGGUCGAGUCUGGCUGCUGAAGAACUGGAAUGACGAAGGUCUACCUACACGCACUUACGCACCGGGGACUAACGACUAUGCCUGGAUGACGCGUUCGCCGGUAGAUUAGACCGACGAGGUCGCUCUUGGUGCAGCUGCACUUUUCCAGACGAAUCAUCGUCGGCUCUUAGAACUGAUUGCAGCAGGGCAGAUGCGGACGUCAUCGAUUUUUUAGUCUCAUUUUUCAACGAUCGUUAAAGGAGGGUCCCUCGCGUGGGUACAGCCUAAGGCAUAUGCUGUAUAAUGAAUUUAAUCAGUCAAUCCAACCCCCUUGCAAACUUGGCGCUAACCGAAGAUACACGAGGUACGGGGAUCUUGGUUGGGAAGAGCGAACGCAAAAAAUUGGGGAACCAUGGCUACCACCGACAAUGCCCUUUUUGGGCGUGACAAUUUCAAUUCAUCGAAGGUCGCGGUCCGUGCAUCUGUCCUGGAGCAGGACAUCUGUCUGUUCCGCGAACCAAUCGGGUACGGGACACAAGGACCUUUUACGGGGCUAUUAGAUCCUGCUUAGGCGAGGCGGACCAAUUGUAGGGUGCUAAAUAAAUAAGGGUUGCAACGUAUCCCUCUAUCCCGUGGUUGGAAUACUAGUGGUUGAGGCAUGUUCGUGGGUAAUGCUGGACCCGUUGGCCAUCCUAAUAUACCUGGUGGCGGUGGUGGCAAUGUACCUCUGGCUAGAUUCGCAUGUACAGCCGGUUGUAACAUGGCGGUCGUGUGCUCCAGGAGUUGCUGAUAGGUCGACGAUUUUUGGCAUACCCUGUAUCUCGGACUCCUCUUGAGUGGGUUUGGGAUCAUUCAGCUCCAGGAUGUCGCUGAUAUGAAAACUGGACAUCCUCGCAGGCAUCUUCAUGCUUUCGAAUAAUCUUUA